UACGGAGGGGGCUAGCGUUGUUCGGAAUUACUGGGCGUAAAGCGCACGUAGGCGGCUUUGUAAGUUAGAGGUGAAAGCCCGGGGCUCAACCCCGGAACUGCCUUUAAGACUGCAUCGCUAGAAUUGUGGAGAGGUAAGUGGAAUUCCGAGUGUAGAGGUGAAAUUCGUAGAUAUUCGGAAGAACACCAGUGGCGAAGGCGACUUACUGGACACAUAUUGACGCUGAGGUGCGAAAGCGUGGGGAGCAAACAGG
rnacentral:rRNA from 1 species